CAUAGUUCGGGGAAUGGGAAAUGGUGGCGAGUAGCGCGGAUGGAAUGGAGGAAAAGUUGGUGAAGCAACAGCUGUGCUGGAAUGCGAACAAUAUGGGUGUCAGUACGGAUGGUAUGGAGCUGGAGGAUGAGGGUCAAGGACCGGAAUGGUCGAUAGUGGAAAGCCAGGAAGAAGAGGGAUCAAGAUGCAGAAAGCAGUUGAGCGUCUAGUUAACAAAGCAUAAACAGGGCCAAGCACAGUAGGUGGCGGCAUGACUUAAACGAUUGAUUACGGACCGCCAUGAUAUCAUAGAAGAAGAAGUAGAUAACAAAGAAGAAGACUUGACAAGCUCUUCUCUUGUUGCUACGAUCGCGAGAAGAGGGGGACAAGCUCAAUCUGCCUCACGUUGGAGGUUGCUGUCCUAUCUAUCUGGCUUACCCUCAGAUCCUCCCUUUUCCCCUCCUGGUUUCUUCCCGAACCUCUUGCUCUCCUUAAACCCUCUUUACUUGGAGUGAACCACCAUGGCAACAGCAAAGCCCAAAGGGCAGAACUCUCUGGCCCUCCACAAAGUGAUCAUGGUGGGCAGUGGUGGAGUGGGGAAGUCAGCCCUCACUCUGCAGUUCAUGUAUGACGAGUUUGUUGAGGACUAUGAACCAACCAAAGCGGACAGCUAUAGGAAAAAGGUAGUUCUGGAUGGGGAGGAGGUCCAGAUAGACAUCCUGGACACUGCGGGACAAGAGGACUAUGCUGCCAUCCGGGACAACUACUUCCGCAGUGGGGAGGGCUUCCUCUGUGUCUUUUCCAUCACUGAGGCAGAGUCGUUUGCAGCUACAGCAGACUUCAGGGAGCAGAUCUUGCGGGUGAAGGAGGAUGAGAGUGCACCCUUCCUCCUGGUGGGGAACAAGUCUGACUUGGAGGACCGGAGGCAGGUCAGCGCGGAAGAGGCCAAGGCGCGUGCUGAACAGUGGGGCGUGUGCUACGUGGAGACCUCUGCCAAAACCCGUGCCAAUGUCGACAAGGUAUUCUUUGACCUGAUGAGAGAGAUCCGAGCGAGGAAGAUGGAGGACAGUAAAGAGAAAAACGGCAAGAAGAAAAGGAAAAGUUUGGCCAAGAGGAUUAGAGAGAGAUGCUGCAUUUUAUAGUGACAAGGGUGUCAGUGAUUACUGCUUUGUGUAUAUAAAUAUUUCACCUAUUUUUGCAUUUUAUUUGUGCCCAUAGAAGCCCCUUACUCCUGGUUCUGGUACCCAGGGAUUCUAGUCUUGGAUCAGAAGUAACUGGUUGGUUUAACAAAAGGCGAUCUGGCAAGUCUCGAAGCAGGAGUCCGUAUUCCCCCUCGAGGCACUCCCGCUCACGCAGCCGUCACCGCCACUCUCGCUCCCGCAGCCGACCCUCCAGCCUCUCCCCCAGCACAUUGACCUUCAAGAGCAGCCUGGCGGCCGAGCUCAGCAAGCAGAAGAAGGCCAAAGCUGCCGAGGCAGCUGCCCGGGCCAAGAGCUCCAGUAGCACCUCAACUCCCACCAAGGUUCCCUCUGCAGGCUCCCACCAACCCAGCCCCAAAACCAACCACGCCACUAAGAAGGGCCCCA